UACGAAGGGGGCUAGCGUUGUUCGGAAUUACUGGGCGUAAAGCGCGCGUAGGCGGUGAUCUUUGUCAGAGGUGAAAGCCCGGGGCUCAACUCCGGAAUUGCCUUUGAAACGGGAUUGCUAGAGUCCGAGAGAGGAUGGCGGAAUUCCUAGUGUAGAGGUGAAAUUCGUAGAUAUUAGGAAGAACACCGGUGGCGAAGGCGGCCAUCUGGCUCGGUACUGACGCUCAGCGCGAAAGCGUGGGGAGCAAACA
rnacentral:rRNA from 1 species